UCCUCAGUAGCUCAGCUGGUUAGAGCAUCUGACUGUUAAUCAGAGGGUCACUGGUUCAAGUCCAGUCUGAGGAG
rnacentral:tRNA from 1 species